UACUUCGAAAUAGAAUGUUGCAUAAAUGUUAGGAUUUGAAAGGGAGAUAAGUUAACAGAACUUAUUAUGGAAAGAGAAUAUACCUGGUACUUUAAAUAGAUACAUAACCGGGGGUGCCUUCACAACCCUGCUCUAUACCAGGUUUGUGUUACUCUCUCUCAAACCAUUUAUCAUCCAAUUUGGUUGUCUUCAAGGGGGGAGGGGCAAUACCUGGUAGAUUGGGUUGAAUCCCAUCCCUAAUUGGGGACACUUAUCUCUACAGGUGUUUUCUGGAUCUUAGUAGAUGAUCAAUUAUUAAUUAAGAUUGUAUUUUGUCUAUUCUUAUAUAAGCUUUAUUACAUUUCUGAAAAUUUUAAUUGAUAUCACGAGUGUUAGGGAAUCCUUUAUGUGGUGUCUUCUACAUCUUAAUAAAUUAUGAAUUAUUCUAAUUAAGAAGUUAGAACAUUUCUUGAGAGGGGACUUUUUUUACUUCAGAGUUAAUAUUUUUUAUGCCUUAAAUUUUCAAUCUUGUUUGCUUUUCGGUCUUUUCUCUCCACUCUCUUCUUUGAUAUCCCCGGUAAAAGAUUCAAGAGUAUAUUUCUAUGUUAUUCUAUUGACUGUUUAAUUGCAUGUUUGUUUGUUUGUUUGUUUUGUUUGUUUGUUAUUUUUUGUUUAAUUGCAGAUAUGAUGAUGAGAGGCGUAGUCGGAGCCGUUCUUAUGAAAGUGUCUCCCCUGCUCGUCGUACCCCCAGUCCUCGGAGGAGCCCUCUCCUUGUAGGACACCUCUAUCUAGGGGUGGGAGUCCUGAUGGACGCAAUCACAAUGAACGCUCACCUACUCUAAAAAGUGUUUCUCUGUGUGGUAGACCUGCUGAUUCUCGAAGCCCUUCCCGACAUUCCAAUGCUGAUGAAUAGGGAGUGAUAUAGUAUGUGAUGAAUCUUCAGCUCGUAUUCUACUCGUCGUACUGGGUGUAGUUGAAACUGCUCUGGAGGAGGACAUCUUGAGAUUUUCAAUGUUAUUAUCAAAUCACUGAAUGCUAGAAUUGAUUGCUCAGGGCUGAUAUUUAACGUUGACUAUUUUGUUGUACUUGAUGCAUCCUCAAGUUUUGAUGGUACUGUUGCACUCCAGUUGUCAUGGGUUGGCUGCAUUUUUAAUCUUUCUUUGUUCUUUUACCUUGUUUUUAAAUCAUAUUUAAUUUUCUUUGUAUCUUUGUUAAUAUCAAUUCAGAUAACUGAGCUUUUUUACUUGUGAUGGACCAUGUAUUGUCCUUCUAUAUUGUGUCUGGGAAAAGUGAAUGUGGCUGACUUGCUGAUGAUGUAGCCGCUGUUGAUGCUGUGUUCAUUUUGCGGUGGGUUGAUAUCAUUCUUGCUGGUUGCGAAGUACGUUGUUUUUUACAAAUUUUCUCUGCUGAUGUCAUCAUUGGUAAGGUUUAAAAGUGAAUGUGGCAUGCUACUGAAGUCCCAUUGGACUCUUGACUUUUGACCUGACCGUCCUUACUUUUGCUGACUUUAAAUCUUGGGUCCGGAAGGCAGUUUAGCUGAUGCAGUUAAACUGUUGGACCAGAUAUAUGAUAGUGCCGAUUUUAAUAUGAACCUACUUGAGCUGGAUAUUGUAGCAUGAGGUUGGACAUGGUGACAUAGUUACAUACUUUUACCAAUGUUUGGUUAGACUUCCCCUCAUUUAUUCUUGGCUAUUAGACCGUUACCAAUUGAUGUGGCAUGUAUCAAUGUGUUUUGGUACAUGCAUCGGUGAAUAUGGUUUUGAGCUGAUACCAGUUGCAUAUUGUGACAGCACAUGAGGUCGUGAAUGUAUAUGUGAAGUGAUAGACGGUAUCUUUACACAUCGGUUGUUGCUGCACUUCUUGCUGAUAGCUUUUGAAUCUGGUCUUACCAUUUUUCGUGUUGAUGAGUGAUGCUUGGUUUGGUAGCUGUGGUGCUCCAGUAGCUGUGCUUUGUUUCAUUUCCUUCCAGUACAUCUUGCUGAUGCGGAAUUUUAAGUUUUGGUUUCUUAGUCCACUGCAUUGCUCUUGAAGGUAUUUUUUUGCAGUCAUCCAAUAUUUUGUCAUCUUUGUUGCCUGUUUCAUGCAUAUUUGGAUUAUGUAUCUGUAUAUUUUUUAAUUGCAUUUUGUUGAUUCUGAUAACACUUCAAUUUGUGUGGACGCUUUUUAGCUACGGCAAUUUUAGAUCAUUACAAUAAUGAUUAACUUAUCCAAUAAAUAUUCAGCAAGGCUCAUGGUUCACUUUGUAGUGAAGGUUGAAAUGUUGAAGUUUUUCACUGGGUUAAACCUUAACAACUCCCUGUAGCCAUUGUUUUAUGGGCUUUCAGGCUAGCAUUAUGGUCUGUGCUUUCCUCUCCUUUCAUCCUAAUAGUUGUUGACAUGAAAACUGGUGUUCAAUUAUGUUAUUAUUUUUCACUUGGGUAAUACUUGUUGCAGGGGAAAUCAUUUCCGGGGGAGAAAUCAUCAAAAAAUGUUUGUGUUUACGUGAGGAACUCCUAUUAAGGGGCAGGGAAAGGGUUCUGACCAUUAACGAGUGAAUUUACUAAAAUAGCUUUGUGGACUUCUACCAACCAGCUGUCUAUUUGGCUGGUCAUCUAUCAAUAUUUUUUAGUGCAAAAUUAACUGCAAAUCUCUGUUUUUGUUAUUCUCUUAAUACUGGUCCUUUGAUUGCUGCUUGAAAAUAUGCCAAGCCUCUUCUCAAAUGAAAGGUUACAUUGAUAACCGAUACCGAUCUCAUCUCUCUUCACAGCUAAGAGGAGGAGCAAACCAGAAACAAGCCAUUCAACAGGGUUGCAAUUUCUUCUCUUUAUUUCAAAUUUUAUUUUAUUGUACCUGUCUGAGGUCCAAGUAGGAAGGUCACUCAUUGAACUGCCUUUUUUUAGGAGCAAAUAUUCUAGGGUCCAUUCCUGCAUCCCUGUAUUGCUCGUGAAAUCCUAGUCUUUUCUACACCUUCAGAAUAAUAUAUCUGUGAUGUUCUUGAUCUUGAAGCAAUUGGAUUUGACACGCAGUAGGCUUUUUGUCAAAAACUUUGCUGAACUACAAUGGGUCCCAAAACCACCAACUGGUUUCACCUGAAACGCAAUAGAAAACUUUAACUUGUUUGAGGAGUCAAUUUUAUGAGAAUCUAUAGACUAGGUUUAUCCUCUCUUCUUUCUUUUUUAUUAUUUAUUUUUAAAUCAAAUUCGACAAAUCUCAUUCUGCUUGUGUGA